rnacentral:lncRNA from 1 species
AGGAGGAGAGGGUGGAGAAGGGGAAAGCAGAAUAGGAUGGCUCCGCUCUCGGGCGUCUCUGCGCCCGACGGCGCGCCACCACCGCCCCCACCGCUCUCCACCCCCCCUGCCACUCCUCCACCGCCGCGCUACCCGCCGCCCACCUCGCCUGAAGCGCCCCCUGCCGGCCGCCCUCCACCGGAGCUGUCGGCUUCGAGCAGCCGCGACGCCGCCGGCCAGGUUCCCCGCCGCCGUUGUGUGGUCAUCCCGCCGUCGCCAUCCAGGUUCGAUCUCCAAAAUCGCCUGCUCUCUGAGCUCCAUGACUGCAUUGUUCCCAACCUUCUUACCCCAUCGGCUUCCCCAGCCCCGGUCUGGGUGACUCCGCCGUCUCUGCACCCUCACUUCAACUCGUUUUUCGUCAAGAACUCUCUUUGCCACUGCCUUGCGCCGCGUCCGAGUCACCUUAGCGUUGUUCGUGUCCAAGUCGCUGUGUUCGUGGUGACGUUUCGAGUAAAAGGUUCGCGGAUGCUCUGGUGGUCACCGGUGCGCUUCAGCUCGCCGACGUUCGGCUCUUCUUCCACCCAUCCCUGGAGGCGGCCUUGCUUGCGGUGUCCUGGCUACCCCCGUUCGUGCCAACGGCCUGCCGCAGCGUUCGAAUUCCUACCGCCUCAUUUACUGAGCCCCGUACGUGCUCACCAAACGGAGUCACUCCGGCAGUACUCCCCUCUGUUGCCCCCCCUUACAAAUCCGGCUGGGCUCUGUGCCCGCAAAUCUUUUGCGUGCCGCGCCCAUGCCUCUACCCUCGUUGCCAGGUACGGGGGGAGCGUUGGCACGUCCUGUCGCGCCCGCGGCGACAGCCUUGCGCGACUUUACGCAGCGCGGAGUCAAUGCGCAGCGCCCGCGCACCUACCUAGAAGCCGCGCUUUCUCCUCCCGCGCCAAAACCCUCGCCUGUCUCUACUCGCAUUUUACUGAACCCUGCCAGGGGCUGCUUCCGCUGCCUUGCAACGGACCACCAAGUUGCCGCCUGCCGUGACCCUGUCCGCUGUCGCCGUUGUGGGGCUUCCGGCCACAGGAGCAACCGCUGCAAGAUGAAGCUCGGGGUGAUCCUCCACGCUGUGGUGCGCAGGCUGCGCACCCCGGCAGCCGCCCGUGCUGCCCGCGCACGUUCGGCCCCAAUCCCAGCCGCUGCGGCACCGGUUGAGCGGGCCGAGGACCCCCCGUCCGACUUCUACCCCAACUGCUCAGCCGCCUACCAUCGCCUGGAGCUGCCCCUGGAGCUGCGGAUCUCCAGCAGGUUUUAGCUAGGCCAUUUUUAGCUAGGCCAUUUUUUAUUUCUAUGUCGUCGCCUUCUUCAAAUUCACAGAUUAGUUCUAAGUCUCUAUGGUAUAUAAAAGAACAAAAGUGUAAAAUUCAGAGUUCGUAUCCUGGUGAAAAUGAGGACACGUGCUCUGAAACUCAUUCAGUUUAAGAGCUGCAAGGUUCAUUCAGUUUUAGAGUUGGUUCAAGGAACAUUACAAGAUAGACAAAAACUCUUGUUGUACAUGAUCUUUACAGUUCCAUCUUAGCUCAUGUUGUAUAUGAGUAAAAACAUUUUUUCCUCUGCUCAUGUUGUACAAGCUCUUUAAAAUUACUUAUUUUCAGACAUGGAACUUCAUACAAAUACUCCUCCAACAGGAAAUACUGAGGUAGAUCAAUAAUGAUCCAACAAGAAAUGGUUAUCCUUUUUCAUUUAUGACAAAAGCACACAGAGAGCACAACUUGAUGUUGUACAGGGGAACGUUUGAAAUGAAAACAUAUCUGAUAAAGAUGACCAUUUAUACUUCUACACGGCAAAAGCGUCUGCAGAUCAGUACUGCUCUGCCUAACAUGACAAAAGAUUAGGAAAUGGUUGUUUUUUGAGGAAAAAUUAGGAAAUGGUUGUUGAUCGUGCAAUACGGUAUGUUCACCUAGCUAAACAAUCCGAAGAGACUACCAGAAAAUCAAAUUCCAAGAUAAAACAUGGCUUCACAUUGUUUAGUUAGCUUGCAGGCACACCCAUAUUUCACCAUCCACCUUCAGGUUAGGUCCAAGAUCUUUUUGUAGGUGUACUUCAGAAUAGCAUCCUCCAAUUUGAUUUCACUUGCGCCACACCGUGCUGCCGCUAUGCACUCAGUCGACGUCGGUGCUAUCCACUCUUACCAAGCGAAGGCGAUGAAAGAUCCCUGAGAGCCUCAUUUCAACGUAGUGAUAACAUACAGUCAGCAGCAUACACCUUGAACAGCUUGCACAAAGCCACAAACGUCCUGCGAUUCAGUUCGUAACAGAUGGUCUGUUGAUGACAUUGAUCGCACAAGAACAUCCUGUAUCAUGGUCAUAUAGACUCAGUCCAUGUUUUUUCCAUUGGGUCCAAAGUCGACGGUUUCAGAUCAAGCACAAUUGGGCCUUGCUUCCCCACUGCAUGCCUAUCCAGAUAUGAAUACUGAGGCAAGAAAAUUCAUUCAAGUAUGGAGAAACAUGAAACAAAAAUGACAAACGAUUACACAGUAUAAUCUCUUAUUGGUAGAAAAAUUCAUACAGAAGGGAAUGAUAUUAGCCACCUAGAAAUCCACUUCUAAACCACUCGCCACCUGAAACAUGGCGACUGCUCGGCCGCGACACGCGGCGUUCUCUUUCUGCACAAGGUCGGCCAUGUUCGGCGUUCGCGGUCUGACCGAUGCUGCCUGCGUUUCCACCCUCGGGUGACUGACGGCCCAACUUUGGCGCCCAAAAACUCGUGAAAACGUGCUGCAACAGACCAAGAUUUCUUACUAAACAUCGUAUAGCUACACGAGAUCUCCAAGUUUUCUUAAACAAGUUUUGUAAAAAACGAACUGGAUUGCAAGGUACAAACUCCAAAUUCUGAUACACGAAACUGAGACAGAGUUUCAGUUACAACAGUAAGGUUCAGUGAAAACAGUGAACUUGUUGUUUUGGAUUGUGAAUUUGAAACUCAAACAGCAUUCAAUCAAAGUUGGGGUUUAUUUCCAUGUUAACAACUUUCAGAGUACUACAACUUUUAUUAAGGGUUUGAGAGCAGUUGCUACACAAAUUUCCAAACCAGUCAUUCAAACAUAUCAUCAGCUUCCUACCGGCAGUCAAAGGCCGGGCUUGUAGUCUACGCCCGUGCCCGGAAGCCAGUCAUUGCCGUUGAUGAACUUCUCGACGGUGAAGUUGAUGGCCUCGGCGGCGUCCUGAAUCGUGUGGAAACCGGACCACUUGACCCGGCCACCCACCGCGGCACCUGGCCCGUCGUUGUCGUACUCGGCGUAGUAGAUCGUGUCAGGAGGGGCGGCGUGCUCCCAUGGCAGCCACCCCUUGGCGUGCCGCACGUUGGAAAUCGUCGACUUCAUGAAGAUGACGCGGGAGUACGCCUUCCACGGACGGCCCAGGUACGUUUCCACGCCGCUUGCCUUGGCGAGAUCGUCGUCGGCCGCCACCGUGCACGACUGGAAGCAGAAGCCCCCAUUGCUGUCGGGCUUGUCUCGCCCCUCCGCAGUGAGGGUGUUCUGCUGUCCCUGAAUCGGCAGGCGCGCGAGGAUGUCGCAGUUCUGAAACACGGCCGCCGCGUCGCCGAAAAUGAAGUCCACCGUGCCAGAGAUUUUGCACUCGCGGUAGAACUGCCUCCCGAGCUCGGCGUAGAGCGUGUCCUGGUAGCCGCGGAGGGCGCAGCGGAACACCACGGACUGAUCCGAAUUGGACAAGAGCGCCACCGCUUGCCCCAGCUCCUUCCUCGGGCCGGCCGUGUUCUCGACGCGGAGAUCACGGGCUAUGAAGCCCCUGCCGAGAACAGCUGCGUGCACAAAUAGAGAGGAAAAUCGCGAUUACUCACAACUGCUAGAGCGAAAAACAGACAAAUUGGGAAAGCACAACAGAGGAAACUAAAAUCGCGAUUACUCAGAACUGCCGUCUGCGGCGUGUGGAAGCCAUCCGCGCAGCAUCGGCUGCCGGAGAUCACGGUGGCGUCCAUGCCGUCGCCGAUCAACGUCACGUUCCACGCGUCCUCUCCCAGGAUGACGAACUCCUUGUACAAACCUUUCUUGAUGUGAAUGACGUGCCUCUUGUUGCUCUUGAGUGGCGCGGCAGCGAUGGCAGCGCUCACGGACGAGUAGUCGCCGCUGCCAUCCGCGGCCACCACCACGUCGACGGGAACAGUCGCCAUUGGAGCUUCUGAAGAUGAUCUGAUGGAUGGGGAAUUGGGGAUUGGUUAGCUGCUUGCUUCUGUUCUUCUGUGGAUUGGAUGAUCUGAGCUUCUGAAGCUGAGCUGAUGGGAAUUGGGGAUUGCUUGGCUGCUUGUUUCUGUUCCUGUGGAUUGGAUGAUCUGCAAGCCGAUGGGUAUAUAUAUAGGAUCGGGCGGUCAAAUUGUUCAUCAAAACUUCAAAAUCACACGGCAACACCGACCAUUUCCAUUGUUGCUGCCGACCAUUUCCAUAACUUCAUUGUUGCUGACUUGCUGUGCCGACCAUUCCCAGUUCCAGCAGGAGGACCGCGGAAGUGAGAAGGUAUGUUUUUCCAGGGGUUUAAAUGAAGAACACAUUAGACAGAUGAAUAGUAAUAAGUAAGAGAAACCGAUUAAGUAAACUUCAAGAGCGUAUGUGAAAAAACGCGUUUGUGCCAUCGGUCUGGGCUGCGUUGGGGCGGACUGUCCCUGAGAUGGGCUUGGCUCCGGCCAGUUGCGGCCCUUUCUAACUUGUAAAAUUAAAAAUAAAUUAUAGAAAAAUCAUGAAAUGCUAAAGCAUUUUUUUAACUUCACUUGACUAUAUCUAAACAGUAAAUACAUAAUAUCUCAUGCUUUAGUAUUUUUUUGCUGUAUAAGUGUAAGGAUACGCUUUCAUGUGUUUGUUUAAUAGAGCAUGUUUAUGUGGUCCAAAUAGAGGGAAAUUUUUAUGGUGGGCUAUUCAUGACAUUUUCUAGAUAUGGUAAAAACUCCAUGCUCAGUGAAUACAAAAUAUGAGUGAAUUAUGAUUUAAUUGUGUUUAUGCUUAUUUAAUGCAGUUACAAAUAGAGAUGCGCUGGAGUGUUCUGUUGAUAAAAGGUGUUUUAUAGCUCGUGCAGUGAAAUUGUUCUUCAACACUUCACCGACCCUUUCCACUUUUGGUGUGCCGGCUGCCGACCAUUUCCAUUCCUAGGCCUUGUUUAGUUCACCCUAAAAAUCAAUUUUUUUAAAAAAUUCUCCGUUACAUUAAAUCUUGCGGCACAUGUAUGGAGCAUUAAAUAUAGAUAAAAAUAAAAAUUAAUUGCACAGUCUACCUAUAAAUCAUAAGAUGAAUCUUUUAAACUUAAUUAGUCCAUAAUUAGACAAUAAUUAUCAAAUAAAAAUGAAAAUGCUACAAUAUCCAAAACUAAAAAGUUUUGGGAACUAACAAGGCCCUCCUCGUUUAUAUCCGAAACCUUUUUAGAUUUUGACACAAUAGCACUUUUGUUUGUAUUUGGUAAUUAUUGUCUAAUCAUGGACUAACUAGGCUAAGAAUAUUUUAUUCAUAAAUUACAGAUAAACUAUGCAAUUAGUUAUUUUUUAUCUAUAUUUUAUGCUCUAUGCAUGUGCCGUAAAAUUCGAUGUGACGAAAAAUCUUAAAAUUUUUGCAAUUUUUUUUGGGAACUAAACAAAAUCAUGCCAGGAAGUACAUAAUGCCAUUGAUCAGUGGCAAUCAAAGUGUAAAAUAGCGAGCUAUUGAAAAUAGUGACAACUUUUUUUUCAAUAGCUAUGUAGCUAUAGCGGCGCUAUGAUAGAUAGCGUUUUUGUAAAAAAAAAACAUGAGAAACACGAGUAAUUGAUGAAAAAGACAUGGUAAAUAUGAAUUUUGAUGAAUAAAAAUAUAUUUUCAUAAGUCUAACAUUACAAAAUACCAAUAUGACAUUACAACAUGGUUUAUGAAAGUUCCAUUGUCCAAAAUACCAAAUUAGUUACAAAUAAUAAAUGAUAAUCUAGUCUAAGAUGGAGUUUUCAGAGUCAGACUGAGAAGAUUUAUCAUAUCGGCGCUAUAGCGCGUAAUAGCGGUGAAAUUUGUUGUAACAAAUGCAACUUAGCGGUGCUAUAGCACGUAAUAGCGGUGAAAGUUGUGAUAGCGGAAAAAAAUAUACAAAUAGCUUAGCGGCAAGUCUGACCAGCACCUAUAGCCCCGCUAUAGCCCGCUAUUCUUUUCUUUUGUGGCAAUAGCUGCAGCGCGUUGUCAUUCACUUGGCAGAAAAGUCAUGGCUGAAAGUACUAUUCGUUGAUUUGUUGGCAGUUUUGUUAGCUAAUUUGUUAGUAAAUUCGUCAGAUAACCUCAAGCGAACAAGAUAGGGUCCCAUAACUUGCAUCGCUGCAGCUUCCAAAAAGUAAUUAUUGUAUGAUCAUAUAUACAAAUUUAUGACCUACCUUCGCAGCAUGAGUUAUUAGAUUCGUUAACUGCACAAGCAUUUGUAUUACCCUUUUCUAGUCCACUACGUGUUUGCCCGUGCGCUGCCACGUGGAUAAAUUUAAAAGAAUCAAGAUAAGCACUGGAAAACAUGGUGUCACCGAUUCUUCGUAUCAACAGUUCAAUUUAGUGUUUGCUAUAUAGCAUAGAGGUGAUUAAGCUUAGAUAAGUCAUCACAUAUAUUACAAAGAAGUUGAUAGCAGUUUAAACAUAGGUGAAAGUUAUUGAGGUGCAAAAUCUUGCAGUUAUCUGACUGAAAGUAGUCUACCAAAUACAUUUAGAGACAAUGGAGAUACCAAACUGUUCGAAGCAUCAGACUCAAGAUUUUUCAAAUCUAAAAUAAGGGUUUUUACUGUAGCGAAGAUAGACAAUGCUUGAGGCAGAAAACUUCCUCUAGCCUAAUUAGCUGCAACACACCUGGCACAGAAAAUUCUGCCUACUUUGAUGGGCAUCACAAGACAAAUCAAUCCCAAUUCUUUUAAAAUGCGCGCGCGCACAGAGAGAGAGAGAAGAGAGAUAUCUACAUAGACAUGGGAUCUCAGUUGUGCAAUGAUGAAUUUUCUUUCCCAAUUAUAUGAUGUUAUGCACAGAAACUGAAGCUAUAAUAAUAGUUUAAUUACAUUCAGUACAUAUAUCUGUCAAAAUACAAAUGAGGACAGUAAUUCAUUAGUUUCAAAUAUUACCAUCAGAUAUGGCUUUUUUUCCUUGCAUUUUACCAUCUUAAAUAAGCUCUAAGACCUAUAUUCAUAGUACCACCCUCAAAAUGUUUCUACCUCUUCACCCUUUUGAAAGGGAAGGGAUAUUCAAACCAGAACUGAUACCGAGGACAAGGUCGUCAGGUUGCCACUUCAUCUGUGUCACGUAGAAGAGGAUUUCCAAAAACCUUUGCAAAAAUUGAGGGCAGAGCCAGAAGUAAAAGUCCAUAUGAUAGAAGCAAGUAUAACCAGUAGAGAGAUGAGCAUCAGCCUGCUGCCUCUGGUAACCUGAAUACUUGGGGUGCCUGGUUCUUCCCUUGUUGCUUGCUGUGACUUGAAGCUAGAGAUGUGCUGAAGUGUUCUGUUGAUAAAAGUGUUUUCUUCACCUGCAGUUUGCUGUGAUCGGAAGCUAGAGAUGCGCUGGAGUGUUCUGUUGAUAACAGUAUUUUCGAUUUCAGCAGCUAAUGCUGGACUACUAGGUACAGAGUCCAACAAGGCUGAUAGAGCCGCAUUGAACCAUGAUUGUGAAGCUGUGGAGCUCUGGUUAUUUACCUCAUUUGCUGCAUGAAUAUUCAUAGUGCCUGCUAAGGGGUAAUGGGCCACAUCAGAUAUCGGAAGAAAUUGAGUUUCGAAUGAUCACACAAAAAUGUUUAAAAAUAUAUAAGAAAUAAUUAGGCACCUGAUGCAUGCGAGGAUAAGACUACAUGAUCAUGCUUCAUAUGGCUCCGCACAUUAAGAGCAGCCUGAUUAUGUGUCCUUACUUCUGUUGUAUAUUGAUAUCUCUGGUUCUGAAUUCCACUGUUACCAAUAUCAAAAAAUUGAUUUUCAGCUACCAAUCCAACUGUGUCAAAUGGCCCAGGCAGAAAUGAAGGAGCAUCACAGUAUUCCAAAUUGUCAAACAUCCCAUUUGUUGCAGAGAUCAAGUACUCAGUUGUCGUACAAUCUGCAUUCUGACCUACAUCAUCCAGAUCAAAGAAAUCAUUGAUUUCAAGGAACUCCUCAUCAGCAUCCUGACUGUGGUAACUGAUCAAACCUGACACAGAAUGUGCCACACUGGUCCCUUCAGAAGAAUUUGUUUCUCCGCUAAAUGGCAAAUUGGUUACAUUAGACUGUGGAAAUUGACUACUCGGCUCAGUCCGUGGUUCACAAAAUGCACUUUCCUGAACUAUACAAGAAAGAUUACCAACCGGAGCACCAUGAGAUUCAUGUAAAUCCCCAAUGCCAGCCUGCACAAGUCAAUAACAUGUCUUAAUGAAUAGGAAACAUAGAGUAAAAUACUAUAUUCAUAUUACAAGAUGUAGCUCUGUCAUGCAAGGUAAGAAACACACUCUGACAUGUGCGCAAGACAACAGAAAUUAUUAUGCAUCUUAAAGGUUUAAACUGAAGCAAUUCUACAUAAGCAGUAUAAGCAUGACGCUGCAAUACGUUGUGAUUUCUAAUCAUCUAAAGGAUGGCCUGAUAUGAUGAAUAACUUACAGUCGUAUACACAGCAAAACAAACCUGAUUGAAAUUAUGAUGUGGAAUCGGUGCAGAGAGAUCUGAUUGGGGUUCAACCAUGUCCUGGUCGUUGGCUAUUUGCAGCAGAAGCCCUUCAAGAUCCCCAAGUGGAAGUUCUGUGUCAAUACAUUCUGCUGUUACAACAGCACCACUGCUGGCAGUAGGAUCCCCAGCACAAACUUCAUGUCCCCCGUCAGCAUCAUGCCAAGCCUGACGAUCUUCGCACUGGAACUGCAGUUCUGGAACUGAUGUUGAUAAAUCCGAGAACAAUUCAGCGUUUUGCUGAUCAUCAGAUAUUUGCAUCAGAAGCUGCUCAAUAUCCCCAAGAGGGAGAUCAGUGCAGGUGUUCUCUGCUACAACCACAGCACCAUUGCUAAUGGAAGCAUCCACAACCUCAGCCUUGUCACCCCCCUCACUGAGCCAACCCUGACCUUGACCAUGGGAAGAAGUAGGCUGUGCUUCACUAAACUCCUGAUCAUUUCCAAAAUUUGACAGGAGUUCAUCAAGAUCCUCAAUUGGAAGCUCACGGUCAGUAAUUGCAUGCUCCUCCACUGUACAUGGUGGAUUAUUGGUGUUAGGAACAGAAUUAGCGGCAGCAUCCGCAGUCACUCCCUCAUCGUCGUCAUCCAACCAAUCCUCCUCCCUAAAGGGAGCACCGUACUGUUCGCCGUUCUUGGGCCCGGCCCCGCUCUUCUGGAAGAGCUUGUACAGCGCGUAGGACUCCCUCCCCUGCGCGGCCGGCGGGAGCGCGUCGGCGAGUAGGGUAUACUCGUGCAUGACCCAGUCCGUGCGCUCCCCGCGCGGGGCCCGGCCGUGGUGGUACACCAGCGUCUUCUUGUUGCCCACCGCCCGGCCGCCGCCGCAGAUGAAGCGGUCCUUCCCCGUGGCCUUCCAGUAUCCGUCGCCAGUGGUGCGGCUGGCGCGCGAGCCGUUGGGGUACUUGCGGUCCAUCCGGCUGAAGAAGAACCACUGCCUGUCCCCCGUCUGCAGCGCCGACCUCUCUGCAGUGCAGCACCGAUAAAUAACUCGAGGUCAAGAGGCCGCCGGAGGGAUUGCAAGAAGCGAUCGAUCGGGGGUGAGGGGUGGGGGAAAGAAGGAGGACGCGUACCGGGGAGGUGGGAAGGGUGUGACUUGUACACUUCGACGUCGGCGACGUAGGGAGAGGGGCGGCCGGAGACGAUCCGGCGCUUGAGGAAGUAGAGAACAAGCUCCUCGUCGGUGGGGCUGAAGCGGAAGCCCGGCGGCCACCGGCGCGGCGGCGGGGUCUCCAUCUCGCCGGAUGAUGGUUGGUGCUGGAGGCGUGUCGUCUGCCGGGUCAACCCGAUGUGCUCCGGCUACUUAAGCUAAGAGAGCGCUCAAUCUCUGCGGGGCCCGCGGUUCUACGCGGCUUCCUGGUAACUUCGCGCUUCUUUUGACGGCCCCAAGGCCCGUUGGGCUGAAUACAUGGUCCACGCACAGUGAGUACUGUACACAGCAAGGCCAUAGUAGCUGAGCAACGAGUCCACGGUCACUUGGUCCCACCGUUCAGUGACAAAACACAGAUCGAGGCUAAAGUUAACAAGACCAGUAGUACAAAAUAAACCUUUAAUCAUUGCAAAGGAAACUAACAGUAGGCAUAGAGUCCACGCCGGGGGAAAAAAGGUUGAAAAAAAAAAAGAAACAUCAGUGCAGUAGAGCACGGUGAAUCGGUGAUGUGUGAUCAGACAUUCCAGUCAUCAGAGUCAAAAGUUGCAGAAAAAAGGAGACGGUCGAAUUUCACGAUACAUGCUGUUGUUUACAGAUGGUCGAUGGGCUAAAACAAUUAGGCACCCAUAACACAUGAAACAAAUAGAGGAGGUGAUAGUUCAUUUACAACAAUAUCUGACCCGUUGCCAGCAGCAGAGCAAGCCAACCUGCAGCCAACCGAGAACGAACACACAACACAAGUCUGUCGUCGCAUGCUUAAUUGAUUGAUUACACGACUGAAGAAAAGAAAAGAUGCAAUGGGUACCCAGCUGCUACAUCACGCUACUGCUACUAAUGUUAUAAACACGACAAUGAGGACCAUGACCAUGCUCCAUGCCAUCUGCUACAGAAGCAAUAUUAUUGCACAAAAUGACGAUCCACCCAAAACAGAGCUGCCGCACUCAAAUGGGGUCCCUCUACGCGCCAGGUGCAGCGAUAGGCAUUGCCGCAUUGGGAAGAAGAUGAAGGAGCAACCGUCAAACCAAGGGGCCUCCACCGCUCCAUCCAUGUAUGGAAUCUAAACAGAAACAAGGGUGGCUUUCAGUCUAAAUGUUUGACUUUAACAGCAAUGUUACAACAAGACUACAAUACUUCAUGUGUCUUUACAUUUUCAGUAAGAAACAACAAACAUGGAACCCCCAAACUCAAAUUCUACUUGUGUGCAAGGUAAGAGUGAUGUUAUGCCAUCGUAGUCCAAGGCUGAAGUUAGACCUUUUUUUAUAAGGGCUGAAGUUAGACUUGAGUGCAUGUGACCAGUGCAAUAGUUGGUUGUCCUCAUUGGGUACAUAAAAAAUUCUUUUGCAAGGCUCGCAGCACCAGUCAUUAGAUCUGGUGAUGGAUAAAGCAAUAAUUGACCUGGAGUAAGUUUCUUGGUGGUGCGGCGCCUCUUCUUUAUAGCUUCAGCAUCCUCUGCACACAAAAUGAAACAUUACAGAACAGUUGCCAAAUUCAGGCAUUAGCAACAGAAUCACGUUAGCAUUGUACCAGUGAUAGAUGAUCUGGUGUAUAGAACAACUCAACGUAAACUUGUGCAGUGCCACUCAUUUCGUGAAAAAAAUAGCAACACUAACAACUAAAACUAGUUACCGAACCAAACUAUUUAGCUUUUCACAGUUCAUUGGAAGUGCAGUUAGAGUUGUAAACUUGUUAUACUAUAACAAAAAAUUGGUGAUAAUUCAGUGCAAACAGGUAAGUGUAAUAACUAAAACAAAUAUUCUCAGCUGAGUAAAUCCCAUACCUUGUGCUGCUUCAUGUACAUGGCUGUCCAUGAGAGCUUGGCUGGCUUCAGGCAGUUGUGCAAGUAGCAUUUGCACUUCGAUUUCGAAACAAGGAACACCUGAAAAGUUCAGAGAAAAAAUAGGGUUAGACGCUGUAUUCAAUUCCCAUCAUUUUUUCAAGAAUUCACUAUGUCAGCAAAUCACCUGUGAAUCUGCACGGGUAAAUCUGGCACCCAUCUGGCACGGAUAGAUCUUAGCUCCACCGAAACAGCACAGCUCUGUUCUGCAGUAGAGAACUUCUGGUGCAUAAGGAAAUAUCAAUAUCUCCAUCCAUCAUAUAUGAAUGAAGAACAACACACACAAAAAAACUAUAUUUCAGUUACCAUAUCAUGUUCACACCUGCUUUUGUUUCAAGAGAAAACAAUGGUCACAGCAUCUUCAGAAAAUAGAAUAAAGAAAGAAAUUGUUUGUCACCAUCACUUGCCACUUAGAGCUGACUGAGAAAAGAUUUAUCCUAUUACUGUACAAUGCCACUUCUUCCAACUAGUCUCUCAAAAUUUUCAUCCUGGAGUUCCUUCCUCACAACUGAAACAUUGGUCCAGUGACCAGCAUCAGCAUAAAUGUUAGACAAAGCUACUUUGGAUGCGCCAUGGGUUUGGUCGAGCUUUGCUAAUUCUUCAGCAGCUUUCUCUCCUAAUGCGAUAUUUCCUUGUGCCCUUGCUGCUGAAAGGAUGCUGCCCCAAAUUACAACAUCUGCUUUCAUGGGCAUCAUUGAAACAAGUUGUUCAGCCUCUUCCAAGUACCCAGCUCGACCAAGGAGAUCAACCAUGCAACCAUAGUGCUUAAUUGUUGGCUGGAUCCCAUAUUCCCUCGUCAUGGCCUCGAAGUAAUAUUUUCCUUUGGCUACCAUCCCAGUAUGACAGCACGCACUUAAAACACCUAUGAAUGUGAUUGAAUUGGGCUUAAUACUGGUCCUCUGUAAUUGUGAAAAUAGGUCAAGUGACAUAUGUGCAUAACCAUGGAUGGCUAAACUACAAAUCAUAGCAUUCCAUGGUGAAACGGAAGAGAACUUAUCACUGGCGCAAUUGAAAAACUGCACUGCAUCAGCAACACUGCCACGCUUGGCAUACAUAUCUAUCAACCCAGCACUCAGGUUAUCAGUAAGCUGGAUUGGUCUGUUCAUUAUAUGGUCAUGGAUCCAUUUACCUUGGUCCAAUGUGCCAGAAUCAGCAAUUGCAGAUAGAGCACUGGCCAAUGUGACCUCAUUUGGUUCAACACUCGUAUUCAACAUGGAAUAGAAUAGCUCCAAAGCCAUGUCUGAACGUCCAGUCUGCACAUACCCAGAAAUCAUUGUACUCCAAGAAACAGUGUCCCUUUCAGGCAUAUCAUCAAACAGCUCCCUUGCUUCAUGAAUUAGGCCCUUCCUCAGAAGAGCAGCCAAAAGAGCGUUCCAUGAUGCUGUGUGUGACUUGUCUGACAAUUUGAAUGCCAUCUGGGCAAGGCCAAUAAGACCGCAACACCCAUAGAAAUGGACCAGGGUCGCUUGCACAAAUGCAUGGGCAUCAAAACCAUUCUUCAGAAUAACUGUAUGCAGUUGUUGGCCUUCUGUAAUAGCAGAGUACCGAGCACACGCCUUCAUCAAAUCAACAAGCAAUACCUCGUGGUCGUUUGCACCGACUUCACCCACCAUUUGAACAUACGCCUUCAUUGCGUCUGAUAUGAGAUCUGCACAGAUAUAUCCAUCAAUCAAUGUCAACCAAGAUACCUCAUCUCGCUCUGGGAUCCUCCAGAACACCUCUGCAGCCAUGUCUAUCAUCUCUGCCUUCACAUAUCCAUUGAGCAUUGCAUUCCAAGUGACUGCGUUCCUAUGCGUCAUCCCAUCAAACAUGGCCCGGGCAGAAUAAAGCUCUAACACCCCUGCAUAGGCAUGAACCAGGUUGGUGGCUACAAUGACGAACCCAUCCAGCGCCCGCUUCAGAGCGAAACCAUGGAUCAUCCCCACAGUCGCCGGUGCCCCACAGCGAGCAAACGCCAUGAUCGCACCGGCGAGAGUCACCUCGUUGGGAACAACAUUCUCGGAGAGCAUGCCGCGGAACACGGCCACGGCGCGCCCCGCGUGCCCCGCGCGAGCGAGCGCGGUAACCAGGGUGGUGUACGAGACGGCGUCCCUGUGGACACGUGGCAUCUCAUCGAGCAGGCGCUGCGCGCGGUCGAGAUGGCCCGCACGAGUCAGCGCGGCGAGGACGCUGUUGCGCGCGGCGGUGUCGCGGAGCGGCGCGGGUGUUUCGUCGAACAGCUGGAGGGCGCUGGCGAGGGAGGAUGGAAGGCGGGAGUAGAAGGAGAGGACAGAGUUGCGAACGAAGGCGUUGCAGGCGAGGAGGCCCGACUUGGCAGCGAGCGCGUGCAGCUGCUCGCCGCAGCGGAGACGCGCCGCACGCUUCAGGGAAGCGACGAGGAACGGGGCCAGAGGAUUGCCGCCACCGGGCAUGGGCGAAGCCUGGCUUUUGAGGCUUCCUCCUUCGAUUUGAGGCUUCCGCGUGAGUGUGACGAGAGAGACCGCGGGAAAAGGAGACAAGCGCACCAAAGACGCAGCGCAGCGCGGCCCGGCCCGGAAACGACAUCCUCUGACGUAUGGGCCUUACGAUUCUAGGCCGUGGCGUAAACCUGUGUAUUGCCGUUCCACGCACACAAAAAAAAAAAGACUCUGUGUACUGCCGUUCGAUGCAAAAUGAGCGAAAAUUCGUCCCUCUACGUUCAGAAAGCAGUACUACGUCAGAAUCCAGUGCCAUAAUUUUUCUUCACAAGAAUCACCUCCCCUAGUACCCCAAAAAAAAAAAAUCCCCUACCCUCACAAUUGACUUCAGACAGGGUCUAUCGCACGAUAACUGUAUCCAAAAAAACAUGUACAAGAAAAGAAACAUCAGUGAAAUGGAGUAACGCACUGUUAUCACUUAUCAGACAUUCCAGUCAUCAGAGCCAGAGUUGCAGAAAGAGGAGAUGAUCGAUUUUCAUGAGAAGUGCUGUUGUUUGCACAGAUGGGCCAUAGGCUAAAACAAUUAUGCACCCAUAAACACAUGAAACAAAAGAGGAGGAGGUGAUAGUUCAUGUACAACGAUGGGUGAGCCGUGGCCAGCAACAGAGCAAGCCAACCUGUGGCCACUGGCCAGCAGCCCUUUGUUACGCACAACACAAGGCUGCCGUCGUCGCAUGCUUCAUUGAUUCGUUACACGAAGGGAGAAAAGAAAAAGAUGCAAUGGGUGCCAAGCUGCUCAAUCACACUACUGCUACUAAUGUUACAGAUAAAAAUGAUUUACACAAGCAAUAUUGUACAAAAUGACCAUCCACACAAAACAGAGCUGACGCACUCAUGGUGAUCACGGAAUGGGGUCCCUCUGCGCACCAGGUGGAGCGAUAGGCAUUGGGAAGUCGAAGGAAAAAUAACCGCCGAACUGAGGGGCCUCCACGUAUGGACUCUGAACAGAAACAAGGGAAGCUUUUAGUAUCAUGCUUGACAAACAGAAUUUCAUGUCCAGAAAGGGAUCUGCUAUCAGUAUACAUUUUCACAUUUAUAUGUUAAGAAACAACAAAAAUGGACCCACCAAACCCAAUUUCUACUUUCUUGUUAGUUAAGAGCGUUGUACAUUGAAUCAUGGAUGUCAUGCUGGUGGUCUAAGGCUGAAGUUAGACUUGAGUGCAUGUGACCAUUGCAAUAGUUGGUUGUCCUCAUUGUGGGACAUACAAAAUCCUUUUCAAGGCUUGCAGCACCAGUCAUUAGACCUGAUGCUGGAGAAAGCAAUAAAAGGGUGGAUGUAUGUAUUUGCAAGCAAAGAUUGGUGAAAUUCGAUGAAGCUGGAACCCAAUUAGUCACUAUGAGGUGUGGUGGCUACCAUGUUUUAUAUAUUGGCCCAAUAUAUGUUGACAUUUAGCUAAUUGGCAUUGAUCUACCAAGGGGCAAGUGGAGUUGAAGGUGAACAUGGAAAAAUACUACUGCCAGGACAAGCAGGAAGUAGUUAAGACUUAAGAGGUUAUUGAUGUGUUCUUUUUAUGUGUAAGGUGGUCUCGGUAAUGCUAUAUCAUAUUCAUUUACAGCAUUCUGUGACAUCUGACAAAAUCUAUCUCCACAUAUACUGCUUAUAAACAAAACAAAUAUUGUUCCACUUUGUGAUACUACUUCAGAUAACACUAUCCCCUCCCCUUAUCAUCAUUAUACUAUAUCCCCCGAAAAAUAUAGCAACUAGCAUUGACUGUGUCACAAUAUAGUAUGGCACUGGCCAACUAACAGUUGGGAUGACAUUUGAGCUGGUGUAGCACUGCAGUUCAAUGACGCUCUUAUAUGGGCAUUGUAAAGUGGGCCUUUCUGGAUUUUUUUUUCUUUUUAACAUUUGCGUUGGAUAAUUAUUACUUAAUAUAAAAUAAAACAUAGCAUCUUCAGGUUUACUCCACAUUACUAAGGCAUUAAGGAGUACAUACUUGUAGCUCCCACAGACAUCAGUGAUGAAAACAACUUUCUUAGGACAUACUAUCAAAAAAGCACCUGGGAAUAAGGUGGAUUUGCAUGGAACAUUUGAUCCCUGGGAGAUCUUGGAGAUGACUCCGGUGAACUACCAUCAUUCUCAUCCAAGUUAUUUAUUGUAUUAUUCAUUGCUGCUGGAUCUCCCUCGGUAGUGCUAAGCUUAACUUGCUGCAAGAUAAAAGCCCAAAUUAGAUUAUGGAAUGCACUGGAUAACUUACAAAAUGAAUAGAAAAAUAUAUGAAGAACUGUACCUGGAAUAUUUUGCCUAAAGUUUUCAAUCCUUUAGCUCGAGCUCGUAGUUCCUCUUUCCUGGCAGUGCUGUCUUGAAGCACCUGAUAUUGAUAAUAAAAAAACAGUUAAAACCACUGUCACAACUAACAACGGCAAAAUAUCAGAUGUAAGAUAUCUCUAAAGAAAACCUUGGAAAGAUAGACAAGAUAUGAAUACAGACCAUUUGACACACAUGUGACAGGGUUGCCUCUAUAUCAGCAACAUUAAGCUUCCAUAACGAAUCCACCAUAACACUCCUAUGCUCCAGCAUGUAAGCCUCCAGUUCCUCUUCGCUGUAGUGGCACUCAGCACUGAGAUGCUUUCUCAAGUCUUCCUGCAGCUGCAUAAGUGCUAUUGCACCUGCAAAUACAUAAGAAAAACCAAAUCUCAUGAGCAAAUUACAGAUCAUGCUAACAUCAAUGAAAUUUAAUGAACAAAAUAACUUUACAUGUUGCAGCUGUCAGUUGGGAUUUAAUAGAAUGUCCUUUGUUUCUGAACCAUUCAGCAAUAAACGGAACACCAAGAUAUUUAGCUUUCUUUCCAAGCUCCUUAGCAGCUUGUCUUGAAUACACAUAACCAAUAGUGCUCAGCAUAUCAACACCAUAUGCUGCAAAAUAAGCAAAAUGGAAACAGAAAAGAACUCGAGUCAAUAUUCCAUUGUACUCAGAAUGUGAUCAUAAAAACAAAAGGAAGUGCUACUGAAUGUUGUUUUAUUGCCAGAAUCAUAUAAGGAUACACAGGGAUAGAAGGGCGAACAAAAGAUUUAGAGCUACUAAGCAGGCCUAAAAGCAUAAAAUGCAUACAGAACCCACAAGUUGCUGCAUGGACAUACAGCUUAGCAAGUGAUUAAAGGGCUGUCAUUAAUAUUCUGGGGAGGUGAAGGAAUGGUUGUCAUGAACAUAUACCGGCGUUAGAGAGUCUAGUAACCUCAGCUUCAGCAUACUGGAUAAAUUCCUCUUUGUUUCCUUGAAGAUAUAGGUGCAACCUAUCUUUCAGUAAUUCUGCAAGUUUCUCCUCCCUUUCUUUUUGUACAACCUACAUCAUAAUUAAAUUCUUAAAUCAAUACUACACCAGAAAGUACAAAUAGCAUGAAACACCAACCAACAAAUUGAACAUUUCAAGCACCAGAAAGGUUUUGUUGUUUGAAUAUUUAAAGCACUAAUAAAGAACAGAAAUUUGGGUAGUAUUUCACAGCUACAAUAAAACCACAUCAAGUGUGAUUAAUCUGAGUCAAUAAUGAUGGCUGUUAAAUCCAUCAUUCCCAUCUAGUAUAACAAAGGCUAAAUGGGAUCGCCACUAUAAGUUGAAAGUGCUGCAGAGGUCGACAAGCAUGAAGAUUGAUAUUCUGCAUGAGAAAUGCCAUGCAGAAACAACUGAGAGAGUGUAUUAUAUAUCGCUGGAGUUUCUCAACUUUAUCAUUCCUAGAAGCUUGUUAAGAUGUGAAGCUCCUGGGAGUUCUCAAAAUGUUGAAAAGGCCAAUCUUGUAGUGUUAAACGCAGGUAAAGCAUUAACUGCAAGAGGUAAGUUCACAUUCUGACAUUAGAUUUUAUUUAGAGUACUGUGCAGAGUGAGUGACUACAAAGGCUGCCAUAGAUUGAAGACUUCUCAUUCAAAUAACAGGAUUUAACAAAGAAGUAGGAGAAAUAGUGCCAAAAUUAGUGUGUGCAGAUCCAUUUGUGUAACCUGGGUCAUAAAAUAUCAGAAAAGGUAAGUUUCAUGAAGCAAAAUACGAAAAAAAAAUCCCAAAUAUGAUCUCUGAUUUCUCGUAGAGUUUCUAGCUUCCAGUGUCAGGACUCAGGACAUUCGUUGUGCCAAACAAUAGCUUCAGUUUCACUACGAAAUUCUUAAAGUAAAAGUUAAAUCAAGUAACAAAAAAACGUUAUUAUGAAUUGCUUGGGUAGUAUAUAAUGAGAAACAAGUUAUGAAUUUCCAUUUAAGAAUGAAUAUGACAAAUAUAAUAGAAUGCCCAAACGGCCAACAAAUCAUCCUGGUAAAGAACCAUACUCGCAUUUGCUCUUGAAACCUUCUUGCAUCGAUAUCUUCAUUAAAAUCAUCAAGUGAAGCCAUGGAUGCCAUCGCCAGCUGGCCAAUGUAGUCCUCAAAAAGCUCGCUACCGAACAGCAUUGCAAAAAUUGCUGCAGGAUCAAUUAUCGCUUCCCUAUAAGAUAAUGUUAGACAGCAAGUUAGAAUGUAACCAUUGGACAAGAUUUGACAGCAUAUGAGACUAAAUACCAGCUACAGAAGUCAACUAACAAGAAAAAUAAAUUAUACUAGAGCACUAAAGUUUUUUUAAAAAAAAAAAGUUUGCAACAACAAGGCAUGUAUCAUCAGUACUUAAACAUACCUUGAAAUACCAGAUCUCCCAUAUGAGUCAUAAGCUUCACGCUGUGUGGGAUCACUAAGCACUUGGUAUGCCUCCCCCAAUUCCUGCAGUAGCAGUAACUCAGAUGAAGAUGUGAUCUUCUUUUUAUAGAGUCCAAUUUGCAUUGACAUCAAAUAUAUAUCUCAAAAGCCACAAGAUGCACAGGGAAGGAAGCCACGCUUAAUGUGACAAGUGGCAGGAUCACCAGUUCAAUAUAUAUAGUACUGUUUUCUACCAUGAACAACGAAAUACUGUUGGGUUUAUGGUACAAGGAUACCACGGUGCAUUUAUCCACUAAAAAAGUUCAGCAGAUCCUGAAAUGUGCCCCUUAAAAUGCGAAACAUGCUAGUGACUGAUACAGUUCUAGUACCCGACUGGAGCUCAGUCGCAGCAGCAGCAGCAUGGUAGUUAUUAGAGAACAUUAGAAUGAUGCUUGCUGCGGUUGAUAGCUGAAGGAGUCAAGUGGAGGAUUAGAAUACUUGCCUGGAACCUCGCCGCCGCGAACGGAUCAUUGGGGUUCUUGUCCGGAUGGACCUGCCUCGCCUGCAACACGAGCAGCAACCACCGAAAUGAGAGGCGAAACCAUCUCUGAAACGCACGGCAAAAGGUGGGGGGCGGAAGGGCGCGCAGGCACAGCACCUUGACGUAGUACGCCUUCUUGAUCUCGGCCUCGGUGGCCGUCGGGCUCACUUCCAACACGUCGUAGUAUGCCGUGUCCCUUACCAUCGAACCACUCUACUCUUGCCCUCCCUGCGCGCUCUGCUCCCGCCCGCUUACGCUCGAUCGGAGCCCCCCGGGAUCUCCCGCCGCCGCUCGCCGUCCCCCCCACCGAUUCCCUCCUUCCCCUCCGCCGCUCCGCGCGGGUGGUGCGAGACAGCGAGGGGGUGCGAGGUGGCUGGCGCUGCUGCAAUGCACUGGCUGGCGGGUGGCGGCUGCUUGGUGUUGCUGGGGUGAUCCGACCAUAAAGCGCCUCGAAUAAUUCGCGUGCUUUUCUUUUCCCCCACGCUCUCCUCUCCUCUCCUCCACCGUAUUAUAAUGCGGGGAUGAGUCACAUUGACAUGGAACUCUUCUCUCUCGCUAGUCAAAAUCGGGUUCCCCUCUCGGUAAAACUUAAAACUAAAACCCCACUACGGAGUACUCCCUCGCUACUCCCGCGGUUUCGCGAGUGAUUAAUUAUAUCGCGCUGCUGAUGGUGAGGUGGACCACAUGGCCGGCGCUGACCCCGGUCCACGGAGUCAAGCGCGAAGAAGGCCGGGGGGAGCGCGGAUGGAGCGGGGUUUCAGGUCUGGGGGCUCACCACGUGGUGACCACUUGGGCCGGACAAUGCCCGCGCGUAUUUAAAAGUUCUUGCUGAAUUUUUUGCUUUCAACUUCCUACUACGUAGGGAUUCGCCUGAACUCAGUUUCUGGUUUUGUAAAGAAAAAGCAAGCUUCAUGCAAAAAAAAAAAAGCGAAACGCAUAUAGAGUUGCCAUAAACUUCAUACAAACAACGCAUGAGAGAGGCUGCUGUUGUUCCCGGCACGCGUCAGGAGGUCGAUCGCUCCCGUUUGGCACGCAUGGAAUGGAAUUGGAAACGGACCUGAGUGGAUGACUGGAUUUCUUCAAAAAGAGGAGAGAAAAAGGGAGUUGUUCGGAAUGGGCGGUGGAGGCGCCCUCAGGUCGCAGGUACUAGUACGUGCGUGUAAAGCCACUAGUCCGACGCCCCCUACAGCUGCAAAAGGCGCCCGGCCGCCCCUACCCUCCGUAGCAGGACAGCCACCACAUCGACAUCGACGACGACGACGACGAGCGGCGCAAAACACGCAUGGGGGCAACGUGGGCAGCGUGCUUGAAGCGAUGUAGUAACAAGCACUAGCACACCUACCUACUCCGUACUGUAGAGACUAGGAACAGGGACGAACAUUCUGGAGGGCUGCCGAAAUGGGCGGAUGCCCGAUGGUCGACGACGACGACACUUCAUCGUUAAGGCAAAGCCAUUCCACGGCGUGUCUUGUGCAACCCUUUUGUUUAUUAUUAUUUUUUCCUCGUUAACCGUCUGUCUAGGAUCUUGAUUCGUGCGCUGGAUCACCCCUCGAUAGGUUCAGAGAUUCCGGAGGGUAUGUUUGCAAUGGGUGUGGACGGGCCACAUGCGUGAUGGUCCUAUGAUUUCCUGCUCUGGCCUCGCGGGAGCAUGUCUUUCCUUUGCUACUCGAUAUAUCUGCAUGUACCAAGAAAAUUACGCUGGUCUUUUAUUUGGUAAGCAAUAUGAUUGCUUUAGCCGACUAAUGGUAGGUCAAUCACCUUAGUGUUAUGAUUAUAUAUCUAAUUAUUUACCUUAGCUACGACGUAUGUAUAGAUUGUGAUGAGACCUCGCCCUCAUUACAGACAAUUUAUCUCCUUCUCCUGCCACUGUGUUGCACCGACAUUGUCUUCCCCAUCCUGCUGUCGACAUGUCAUCGGCACCGAGACAGCAGGUCUCCGAAACCUAUGUCCUCUCGUAUCCGUGCACACAGAUAGGGCUAUAUCAGGUUUUUGAGAAGCAUCGUCAUGACUGUUCGUUGGACGUCUUCCCUCUACAUCGGUGUUCGUGGGUUGCCAUUGAUAGUCUAUUUCGUCAACUUUUGCACUAUCUCUAGCACUAACAAUCUCACUAUAAGGAUAUCUACAAUUUAUUUGUUGUUCGUUCUAACAUUCCUUCUAUUAGUAGCACUAGAGAAUUUGAAUUUAUCUUGGAUCGUAGUCUAGUGUUAAAUCACACACCUAUGAUACAUGUUGGGCAUGUUUGGUUCGUUGGUUUCUUAGAGCCUGGCCAGAAAACUUAGCCUGGGCAGCUCAGACCUGGUCCUAACUAGCCAACCAGCAUGUGUUUGGUUGUGUGCAAACAUAAGACAGGCUUCGGGGAGUUUCUGUUUGGUUGGUUGCUUAGCCAAGCCCCUUUCUCUACGACUUCUCUUCGAGUUGUGCGGGACCUCAGCGGGGACACAUCCGGCGACGCUGACGCCUUCUGGGCCACCGCGCUCCUCCUCUACGACUUCUCCCAUCAUCAGCAGCAACAACCCACGCCCUGGCCGUGCGGCGACCGCCCUCACCCUCGCCGGCGCCGACUAGCCCGUGCCUCCUCCUCACCCGGAAGCGACACAAGGAGCGGUCCUCCUCGUCGCCGCCACCACCGCCUCCGACACCGCGGCGUUGGUCCGCAUCGGGCAGGACGACGACGACGACUUGCCUGCUCUCUGCCCUGCACCGUAUCUGCGUGGGCUGGGGCGUCACGAGGCGUGCCAAGUACCCUAGCCGGCAGCCGCAGCACUGCCCGGGUUCUCCCACGGGCGUCACGAGGCGAGGAGCAGGAAGAGGGCGGCGGAGAGCAAGCCCGCGGUCACCACCACUCCCGACGCCGGCUCGUCGCGCGGCAAGGUGGACCGGUGGGCGGCGUGGCGGUACGCGGCGGCGAGGCGACGCUCGUCGACAUCCUGCGCGAGCGCGGUGCCACCGCCGGCAACCCCGCGCGCGCGAGCCGACUUGCGGGUGCAGGCGCGCCGCUAGAUCGGCGACACGAGCCUCCUCGACCACCUCCUUCGCCACGUCACCAACAAGGUCCCUGCCGGCAGUGCCACCCGGUGCUUAGCCAAGCCUGGCUCUAGAAAAACAACCACCCCUUCCGUUUUUUCUGGAGCCUUGCUAGAGGGUGGUUGGUGGCUCCUUGUAGCCUGGCUUCAAACUCCAAACUGGCAACCAAACAACUCGAAGAUGGCUUGCUGGAGCCUAGUUGGGAGUUAUGCACCCAACAAAAUAGACUCGUUGGUUUUCUUGUCUUCAAUAUCGGAAUCAAUUUGUGUCACCAAACUGCUUUUAUUUUCAAUAUUUUUAGCGGAAAUCUUGCGUUUUCAAAUAGACCCUCAAGUUGGCAAAUGGCAAGAAGAUUUAUGUCACCUGUGAUUUAGGCCUUGUUUAGAUGUGAUUUUUUUUUUAUUUCGCUACUGUAGCACUUUUAUUUGUUUGUGACAAAUAUUAUUCAAUUAUAGACUAACUAGAAUCAAAAGAUUCGUCUCGCGAUUUACAACUAAACUGUGUAAUUAGUUUUUGUUUUCGUCUAUAUUUAAUGUUUAAUGCACGUGCCGUAAAAUUUAAUGUGAUGAAAAAUCUUGAGAACUUUUUAAUUUUUAGGUGAACUAAACAAGGCCUUACACACAGGAUGGUUGUGGCCUGGAUGUGCCUGCUCUGCUCUGAUACAUAUGCUGAUGCGUACGUCACUGCCCCAGGUCCUCGCAGGCCAACACGGGGCAACUGCCAACUGGGCAAGCUAGCCAGCUGGUUACGAUCACGGCAUCACCCACCUAAUGUGAUUUGAUUAUACUAGUGACAGACGAUCUGUCUUUGAGCUGUGAGCCCGUUGCUUUCAUAAACUGACACGGGAAUUUCUAAAGUCUCGUGCUCGUGGAGGUGUGAUAUAUCUUUUUUUUUUUCUAAAUGGGAGAAUCAAAUUAUCCAGUGUUAUUUAUUUGCGCUAGGACGUUGACAGGAGUAUAUAUCAUCCUGCAUUCCUCCUGCCUUCGGCCACCUCGUAAAUUUGAAGACGGAUCAAGGCCUUGUUUAGUUCCAAAAAAUUUUACAAAAUAGGAAUAGUAGCACUUUCGUUUGUAUUUGACAAAUAUUGUCCAAUCAUGAACUAACUAGGCUCAAAAGAUUCGUCUCGUCAAUUUCGACCAAACUGUGCAAUUAGUUUUUAUUUUCGUCUAUAUUUAAUACUUCAUGCAUGCGUCUAAAGAUUUGAUGUGACAGA